AAGACUAUACUUUCAGGGAUCAUUUCUGUAGUUUCUUACUAGAGAAAUGUCUUUCUAAUGAGUUUGGUCUCGCUCACCAUGAUGGUGAGUUAUGAUGUUCUCUUCUGAGCAUGAAGUCGGCCUUGAGUAAUGAUUCAAUUCAUACACUCACUGUCGUUGAUAACUGUUCUAUGCUUCUACAAGAAGCUUAGAGGGAGAGAACAUGAUCAGAGUGGU